GGGGGCGUGGCUAGCCGAGCUACAGAGCGGUCGAGGUUUUACUGAGCUCCCGCUCUAGAAGUGCAAAACUGUCUAUUUUGCCACAAAAGAGAGCAAAUUUUAACGUUGCCGACACCUGAGGGAACCCCCCAAGAGAGAGAUGGGGCGCAAACACCGAAGAUUUGCCCAAGCCGAGAGCAACAGUCACACAGAUAUCCGACUGUCCUUCACCAGGCCGCAGCCGCAGGCCCGAUCAAACAUGGCGCCCGUGGAAACACGCAGCUCCAGCG